rnacentral:rRNA from 1 species
GAUCCUGGCUCAGGAUGAACGCUAGCGACAGGCCUAACACAUGCAAGUCGAGGGGCAGCGGAGAGGUAGCAAUACCUUUGCUGGCGACCGGCGCACGGGUGAGUAACACGUAUGCAAUCCGCCUGUAACAGGGGGAUAACCCGGAGAAAUCCGGACUAAUACCCCAUAAUAUGGGCUCUCCGCAUGGAGGGUUCAUUAAAGAGAGCAAUUUUGGUUACAGACGAGCAUGCGCUCCAUUAG